rnacentral:rRNA from 1 species
AGUGAACGCUGGCGGUAGGCCUAACUCAUGCCAGUCGAACGGCAGCACAGUAAGAGCUUGCUCUUACGGGUGGCGAGUGGCGGACGGGCGAGGAAUACAUCGGAAUCUACUUUUUCGUGGGGGAUAACGUAGGGAAACUUACGCUAAUACCGCAUACGACCUACGGGUGAAAGCAGGGGAUCUUCGGACCUUGCGCGAUUGAAUGAGCCGAUGUCGGAUUAGCUAGUUGGCGGGGUAAAGGCCCACCAAGGCGACGAUCCGUAGCUGGUCUGAGAGGAUGAUCAGCCACACUGGAACUGAGACACGGUCCAGACUCCUACGGGAGGCAGCAGUGGGGAAUAUUGGACAAUGGGCGCAAGCCUGAUCCAGCCAUACCGCGUGGGUGAAGAAGGCCUUCGGGUUGUAAAGCCCUUUUGUUGGGAAAGAAAAGCAGCAGGUUAAUACCCCGCUGUUCUGACGGUACCCAAAGAAUAAGCACCGGCUAACUUCGUG